rnacentral:snRNA from 1 species
AAACCAAAAAGAAAAAAAAAAGAAGCUAUGUUUUUUCCAGGGCACAAUUUAUCCAUUGCAUCUGAAUGUGCUGACCCCUGAAAUUGCUCCAAAUGGGGGAACCUUACUGAGUAAUUUGUGAUAGCAGGGGACUAUGUUGACACUCUCCUUUG